AGGAGGCUCCACGUGGGUGGAGCAGGGUGAGGGGAGAACAGAGUUUAAUUAGCUGGUCAGAGCAGUCUAGUAGCCUGACGGUCAUGGAAAAACAGGUUUCAUAACCAGACUGCCCACAGUUUUAAAAGUUAUCUAUUCCUUUUAUUGAGAUAUCGUUGACAUCUAACAACGUGCAGACUGUGUGUGGCUUUGUCUUCAUGAGUCAGAAUGGCUUCUAAAGCUCCAGAUAUUACCUCUGCAUAAAGUGGUCAAAUGUAGGAAGCUGUCUCUUGCCACAGAGGAUCCAUAGUUCUUUCAGUAACUCCCCAAUAUAAUCAACUGGCCUAUAGUCAUUUGUAAGCACCCAAGUCCCACACAAGUAACUGGAAUGAUUUAAAAGAAUACCACGAGAAGAAUUUUUUAGAAGAAUUUAUGAGUUUGAGAUGACUGAUAUCCCAAAGAAAUAAUCUCCAGGCAACCAAGAUA